GCCCGUGCAAGGGAGCAUUAGGGUCUGGUUGACGAGGAAGGGCGAAGACGAAAUCGAAAAGUGUUAGAGCGUCAGCAAUGAUAACACGUUCCCGAAUAAUUACUCGUAAAGAAAACUCCUUGGAUUUAAGCAUAUGAGUAGAGGAAGGAAAAGAAACUAACAAGGAUUCCCAUAGUAGCGGCGAGUGAACAGGGAAAAGCUCAAGUGUAAUUCUGGUAUUUUUAAUAUACAGAAGUUGUCAUGUUGUAAGUAUUUUAUAUGUAUAAUGAAGUAUCUGUAAUUAAUACACUAUAAAGGGUUAUAGUCCCGUAAUUAUAUAAAAAUACAUUAUAACAAGUAAGAGUAGUUGUGCUUGGUAGUGCACAAUAAAGAUCGGUGGCAUGAAUCAUCGAAAGCUAAAUACAACCAGAUACCGAUAGCAAAUAAGUAGGAUGACCGAAGAUGUGAAAUUGCACGGGAACCCGAGUAACUCGGGC
rnacentral:rRNA from 1 species